UGUCGGUUGGUCUGUGUUACCCAGAAAGCAGUUGGGCACAAUAUCGCAACCCCAACACCGUGAGUGAAACAACGACUGGGCCAGCCUACUACAUAAAGUACUCGGGACCAUCUCUUUAUUAAUGUGGAUGUGUAAUAAUAGAGUAUGAAGCUAAUUGGCAACCCAAACUUAA